rnacentral:rRNA from 1 species
AGAGUUUGAUCCUGGCUCAGGAUGAACGCUGGCGGCGUGCUUAACACAUGCAAGUCGAACGAAGCACUUUUACAGAUUUCUUCGGAAUGAAGUUUUGGUGACUGAGUGGCGGACGGGUGAGUAACGCGUGGGUAACCUGCCUCACACAGGGGGAUAACAGUUGGAAACGGCUGCUAAUACCGCAUAAGCGCACAGUACCGCAUGGUACAGUGUGAAAAACUCCGGUGGUGUGAGAUGGACCCGCGUCUGAUUAGCUAGUUGGCAGGGCAACGGCCUACCAAGGCGACGAUCAGUAGCCGACCUGAGAGGGUGACCGGCCACAUUGGGACUGAGACACGGCCCAAACUCCUACGGGAGGCAGCAGUGGGGAAUAUUGCACAAUGGGGGAAACCCUGAUGCAGCGACGCCGCGUGAGCGAAGAAGUAUUUCGGUAUGUAAAGCUCUAUCAGCAGGGAAGAAGAAAUGACGGUACCUGACUAAGAAGCACCGGCUAAAUACGUGCCAGCAGCCGCGGU